UUUUUUAAAAAUAACAAAACCAACUUAAUCCUGAAACUGUGAAACUAUCUCUUCCUCACUCAAACUACUCUCUCUGGUGCCUCAUUCUCUCUGGACUCUGAGAACCACCCAUCGAUCUUCUUCUUUUUCUCGAUCUUGCUCUCACGUUUCCAUCAUUCCAUCUUCUUCAUCGUUUGAAUCUCUUUCCACUUUUCAUCUCAAUCUUAAUUGCGAUCUGAAUCCUUUUCUUGAACAAGCUUGUGCUGAUUACGAUUGAAAUCUGAAUCGCUCUCUAAUCAUAAGUCGUGAUAUCCGCCAUCAGUGAUGAGCACACCAAGCUCAUCAACGCCUGCCACAUCUUCAGCCAAUUUCUCUUAUGGCUACUCUUUUUUGAGUGACAGAUCAUUGUACAUGAGUCGCAGCACCAAGAACAACUCAAGCUCUUUUGUCAGGUAUCAAACUCUGACUCUCUUGUACCUAUUUUGUCAACUCAUAUGUAGAUAUCAAUGGAUUAACAUUUAACACGAUUAAAGAUUGAUUUUGUUACUAUUUUGCUUAUUUUUUAAUUCUUUUAGUAGAAAAAAGAUGUCAAGUUAGACUUAGUUUGCAAUGCAUAUCAUUUUUGUAAUGUUCAUCACAAUAAUGGUUUAUUUUUUCAUGGUAAGAACAUAAAAUAAUUGAUAUUUUGUUUGUUCUUGUUAAUAAUUUGGAUCAUAUGGUUGAAAAAUAUAUAAGGAUGAUGCAAAUAAAUGUAGUAUGAUGCAAAACACUUACGCACACCAAGAUAAAGUAAACAAAUGUAGUAUGAUGCAUGCAUGUCCUACUGGCUGUGAGCUCACGUGUCGGUUAUUUUGUCAGAAUCCGACACAUUCGGUAGCUAACCUGGAUAUUGUCUUUAGAUUGUGCAUCCCUGGAGGAGCACAAACGAAGGAGAGUGCCUUUCCACAAAUGCGGGACUAAUUUCAUACAUUCCUCACAUUUGUAAUAUUAACAAUCUUUCCCUCAAGUUUUUUAAAACACCAGACUGAUUAACCAUCAGCUUCGAUAUCACUUUGUUGAGCUACCGUGGAAGUUUUCGAUUACCGAAUCGGCUCUGAUACCACUUAUUGAGCCACUGUGGGGAGCUCUCAACGACCAGAAAGACUUCGACAUUUAUGCUAAAGAUUUACUAAAAGGAGUAAGAUCAUUAAUCUAGCUAGUAGCUAGUAUAUGCUGUAUGCACAAUGUAGGUAAAGUACAAGAAAGAAAGUGGGUCAUGAUUAUAUAAAGCUACUGCUACAUCACACUAAUAGCAGGGCAAAACAAAAUAGCCAAACAUAAAAUUACUUUUAUUCUGCUGCAAAUUUUAUCCUUUUUUAUUUAAAUAAAAAUAAAAAGUUUUUUCUAAAAAUUAUUUGUCACUUUCCCUAGCAGCCUUAAUUUUACAGGUUGUAUUAGUAAAAUUAAGAAAAAAAUACAGUUAUUCACUUUAAUUUCACUGGAACAAAUAAUAAAAUU